UUGAACGCUGGCGGCAGGCCUAACACAUGCCAGUCGAGCGGAUGACGGGAGCUUGCUCCUGGCUUCAGCGGCGGACGGGUGAGUAAUGCCUAGGAAUCUGCCUGGUAGUGGGGGAUAACGUCCGGAAACGGGCGCUAAUACCGCAUACGUCCUGAGGGAGAAAGUGGGGGAUCUUCGGACCUCACGCUAUCAGAUGAGCCUAGGUCGGAUUAGCUAGUUGGUGGGGUAAAGGCCUACCAAGGCGACGAUCCGUAACUGGUCUGAGAGGAUGAUCAGUCACACUGGAACUGAGACACGGUCCAGACUCCUACGGGAGGCAGCAGUGGGGAAUAUUGGACAAUGGGCGAAAGCCUGAUCCAGCCAUGCCGCGUGUGUGAAGAAGGUCUUCGGAUUGUAAAGCACUUUAAGUUGGGAGGAAGGGCAGUAAGUUAAUACCUUGCUGUUUUGACGUUACCAACAGAAUAAGCACCGGCUAACUUCGUG
rnacentral:rRNA from 1 species